rnacentral:rRNA from 1 species
AUACAUAGGUGACAAGCGUUAUCCGGAUUUACUGGGCGUAAAGGGCGUGUAGGCGGUCUUGCAAGUCAGAAGUGAAAUUCCUGAGCUCAACUCGGGCGCUGCUUCUGAAACUGCAGGACUUGAGUGCUGGAGGGGAUAGCGGAAUUCCUAGUGGAGCGGUAAAAUGCGCAGAUAUUAGGAAGAACACCGGUGGCGAAGGCGGCUAUCUGGACAGUAACUGACGCUGAGGCGCGAAAGCGUGGGGAGCAAACAGGAUUAGAUACCCGGGUAGUCCACGCUGUAAACGAUGAAUACUAGGUGUAGGGGGUAUCGACUCCCUCUGUGCCGCAGUUAACACAAUAAGUAUUCCGCCUGGGGAGUACGGCCGCAAGGUUGAAACUCAAAGGAAUUGACGGGG